AGAGCUGAAAUAUACUAAACAAAAUUUUCUAAGAAAAUUGAUUUGAUCUAUAGGCACCUUUCAGUUAUCAAGCAUAAUAAGCUUACUAUUUCAUUCAGUAAUGUUCACUUAGUUAAAAUGAGUGCAUUCAAAUAAAACUUUUCCUUCGUUUCUGGCAGUGUUCUGAUCUCACAGCUAUUGCUGCUAUCUGUAUUUGGGUAUCACACAACCCUGUACUGCUCGAGAGCACGCACCUUCCCCAAAUUUGGUGGAAGGCUGAGAAGCCAACCAGCACCAUCCUUAACAAAACACACAGGCUGGCUGAUGUUGCCCAUGCUGCCUAAUGUCCUCGUCAGAUUGUAGGUUUGGUGACUGCCUGAGCCACCGAGACUCAUCACGCCUGCUGAGCUGCAAGAGGGAAUGCAAGGAGAAUUCUAAAGCUAACUGACAUUACCAUGGUCUUUAUACCAGGUUCCAAAAUACCUGCAGUUAAAGAUCAUAUCACCCCCAUGGAAGUGAUGCAGUGUGCAUGCCACAGAACCAACACGUAUAUUUAUGGAAUCACAUAUGCAUAACUUAAAGGAUUCCACUCAGGCAUCAUCCUGUGUUUUGCUGUCAGAAAUGUACAGCUCUUCUCUACGUGCUUUUAAACAAGGGACAGUUAACUUGGAAAGUUUCAAUAACAGAUGAAUAUUUGUCAGCUUCUGUAGACAGUCCGCUGGAAUGCUGGUGAAAUUCUGAUCGCGCUGGAAUCUAUGGGAAUUGUGUGAUCAUUGAACAACAACAGAACCAAGAGUUUAUCUUGCAUAAGGACAGGAUUGGGAUGAAAGCUUUAAAAAAAUCUCAGCUGACUGGAUCAGCUAGAUCAGCAUGCCUCCGUUAUUAAUAUUUCAUAAUAAUAACAAAAACUCUCCCACAGCGCUGAUCCAGCCCAAUGGAAUUUGAUGUUAUUGUUUUGGUCUUGCUUACGGGGAAUUGUUGAAAACUACUUUGAAAAUUGUUGCAUUCAUUAAUUAUUUGUGCUUGCAAUACUUGUAGUCUUCUGUACUAUCAUAAAAGUCCAAUUGAUGCUUUCAGAAACAUCAGACGUGUCCAGCCAGCACAUUCUUGAGGACCUAAUGGCAUGAGACUUGUACCUAGGAAUAUCUGAAAUUCUGCAGCUUCUUUUUUGGACUAUAAAUGGUAGAUAAAUACCCAUACAUUAAUUUCAGUGUCUAUUCUUCCAUUGGAAGAUAUAUGAGUUGGG
rnacentral:lncRNA from 1 species